rnacentral:rRNA from 1 species
CUAGGACCGCCGUAAUGAUUAAUAGGGACAGUCGGGGGCAUCAGUAUUCAAUUGUCAGAGGUGAAAUUCUUGGAUUUAUUGAAGACUAACUACUGCGAAAGCAUUUGCCAAGGAUGUUUUCAUUAAUCAGGAACGAAAGUUAGGGGAUCGAAGACGAUCAGAUACCGUCGUAGUCUUAACCAUAAACUAUGCCGACUAGGGAUCGGACAAUGUUAUUUUUUGACGCGUUCGGCACCUUACGAGAAAUCGAAGUGCUUGGGCUCCAGGGGGAGUAUGGUCGCAAGGCUGAAACUUAAAGAAAUUGACGGAAGGGCACCACCAGGGGUGGAGCCUGCGGCUUAAUUUGACUCAACACGGGGAAACUCACCAGGUCCAGACACAAUGAGGAUUGACAGAUUGAGAGCUCUUUCUUGAUUUCGUGGGUGGUGGUGCAUGGCCGUUCUUAGUUGGUGGAGUGAUUUGUCUGCUUAAUUGCGAUAACGAACGAGACCUUAACCUGCUAAAUAGACCGUAUUGCUUUGGCAGUACGCCGUCUUCUUAGAGGGACUAUCGGCUCAAGCCGAUGGAAGUUUGAGGCAAUAACAGGUCUGUGAUGCCCUUAGAUGCUCUGGGCCGCACGCGCGCUACACUGACGGAGCCAGCGAGUACUCCCUUGGCCGGAAGGCCCGGGUAAUCUUGUUAAACUCCGUCGUGCUGGGGAUAGGGCAUUGCAAUAA